GCUUUCAAACGAAACAUCACAGCAAAAUGAAUAUCAGACACACACAAAAAAAGAUUAGUUUGGUUCAGUCAGUGAAGGAACCGAUUGCCUAAAUCACUAGAAAGUGACAAAAUAAUGAAUAUAUUUGACUUACAAUCAACCGAUAUAAAAACAGACGUCGAUUUUAAUUUGUUCGACAGAAUCAUUUUUAAAAAACAGGCUCUGAAAUAGAUGAUCAAAAUUGCUAAAUUCAAAAUAACAUUUGUACCUGCGGAUGCGUGGAGACAGUUCUGUAAGACGACAGAGAGCAGCACGGAGGCUGAAAAAACAUCAAGAAGAAGCUUUAGUGUCCUUCAACAUCCAGAAUAACGUCUGACAGGAGUUCAGCAUUUUGGAGCAGCUGUUCCUAUCAGGAGUGACGGUAAAGAAACUUUCGUUAAUGUUCUGUUUUUGCCAUCAAACCCCCGAGAAGAAGAAAAAAAAGCCCUCCGUUCCCUCCUGGGCUUCCUCCUUUUGAUCACAUCACCUUGGAAUCGUCCUCCCAGGAGUCCCUUUGUCUAUGAAUGCUAAUGGGAUCUCUGCCUGUUAAUAAUAAAUGGCCACUGAUGAAAUAAUAAAUUUCUAAUGUUCUCCUCCUCUCGCUCCCGUCUUAGAUGAGUUUAUCAGGACCUCCAAACACUUUCAACUUAAUUAUUCAAAAUACUUAAAAAAUUCAUACCAUCUUUUUUUUGUAGGGGGGGGGGCAUCGGUAAGCCUGUAUAAAUUUGGAAAAAUGGUCCCACUGAAAAAUUCAGCGGUUGGCUGGGCGUUCAUUUAUUUUUCAGAUGCUAAGAACACAUGGAGGAUGAAAUGAGCUUUUUUUUUUUUAAUACUGCAACAUAAUUUCUAAUAUUCAGGGCAAAAUCUCCUCCUGCAUUUUAUGUUUCAUCACGUUUGGGGAUUUGAUGGAGGAACUUAACAGUUGUUUGUGAUUUUUAUUCAUUUA
rnacentral:lncRNA from 1 species